CGCACAUUGCGCCCAUUAGUAUUCUAGUGGGCAUGCCUGUUCGAGCGUCAUUUCAACCCUCAAGCCCCUGUUGCUUGGUGUUGGGAGCCUACUGGGUCACCUGUAGCUCCCUAAAGUUAGUGGCGGAGUCGGUUCGCACUCUAGACGUAGUAGAUUUUCACCUCGCCUGUAGUGCCGGACCGGUCCCCUGCCGUAAAACACCCCUUAUUUCCAAAGGUUGACCUCGGAUCAGGUAGGAAUACCCGCUGAACUUAA
rnacentral:misc_RNA from 1 species